AUAGUAGAGAACUUGAUCAAAUUUACCCUUUUGCCCCUUGAGGCAGAUCUCCCCAUUGGCCAUGGAGCCCCUUCUAAUCUUGUGAACUCCCCUUGGUCCAUGGCUGUGAAGAAUCACCCUCAAUUCGUUUUGAUUAUUUCUCUCCCUGCUGUUGUAUUCGUGAGAUUUAUUACCUGUAUUACUGGUGCAUUCAUUAUUUUCUGUACGUUCAAAUCCCUUGUUCGGUAAAAUCGCUAUUUUACCGAACAAGGACCACCCUGGGUAGCAAUUAGAACAUAGAAUCAUGUGUAACCGCAAGUUAAUUAAGAGUUCCCGGGUGGCCGCCAUUUCGGGAGCCGAACACGUGGCGAAGAAUCUUAAACUCCCGAACGGCCAGUCAGCGGGACUUAGGCGUUGACCGUCUGGAACUAUUUUUGGCAUAGCGCUCCAGCAUGACCCGGUCCCCC